CACGUAGUUAGCCGGGGCUUCUUAGUCAGGUACCGUCAUUAUCUUUCCUGCUGAUAGAGCUUUACAUAACGAGAUACUUCUUCACUCACGCGGCGUCGCUGCACCAGGGUUUCCCCCAUUGUGCAAUAUUCCCCACUGCUGCCUCCCGUAGGAGUCUGGGCCGUGUCUCAGUCCCAAUGUGGCCGUUCACCCUCUCAGGCCGGCUACUGAUCGUCGCUUUGGUGGGCCGUUACCCCGCAACUGGCUAAUCAGACGCGGAUCCAUCGUAUACCACCGGAGUUUUUCACACCGCCCCAUGCGGAGCUGUGCGCUCAUGCGGUAUUAGCACCUAUUUCUAAGUGUUAUCCCCCGGUAUACGGCUAGGUUACUCCACGCGUUUACUCCACCCGGUUCCGCCCACUAACCUCAUAAAAUCACUAGGUUUCAGUAUGAGUCCGUUCGACUUGCAUGUGUUAGGCACGCCGCAGCGUCAUCCUGAGUCCAGGAUACAAACCUCU
rnacentral:rRNA from 1 species